UCUCCUGCCAUACUGACAGUAAUGAUCGUGAGGUGAUAGAGUGAGAAUAGGCGCUACUUUUGGACCUGUAUACCUGGCUGACAAUAACUUUGUGACCCUUUGAGAGUAUAAUUUUAAAUGGACAUUAUUUAUUAUUUUGAGAAGUUCAGGUUUUGACCCAGUUUGCGUCCGUGUGUUUGUUCACUCCAGCCUGAAUAAAGUGUACGCCUGUCUACAACACUCUGCUCUCCUGCACCUGACUUCGGCACCAGUACACACACCCUUGACAACAGGAUGCACCUGAGCUCAAUUUCAAGUCUCAUAUCAAAGGAGAUAUCUGCAUGGGCUGCCUCUCAACCCACCGCAACUGGCGAUAUUGGCCUUCCACAUCUGUGGUGAAAGGUGGCAGAGAUGUUUAUCAGACCAUGAGACAUCCUGAAAAUCGGUCUUCUCACAAAAACGUAUGUAGUGUCUGAACAGUUUGGCCUACACAAUGAUGUGACCCCUCUAUGGAAAGGUGAGUCUCUCACAAACACAUCUCAGUGGUUUUAGGACACCCACAAACCACACAAGACUCUCCUGAAGGUAGCCUGGUACCAGAUAAAAACAUUUAUGACAAUAUAUAUGGAAGAGAGAGGUUCAGUGCCUAUAAAGGUUGAUAAAUAUGUGUUAAAAAAAUAAAAACAUUGUUUCAUGAUAUUUCUUAUACAGUAUCUCUCAGAUAUGAAGGACCGCGCGGUACUCUGGACCCUGAUCUCUCUUUUGACGAACAAAUCAAGACUGGUUCAAGGACAGAUUUUUUUCCAUCUACGUAACAUUGCAAAAAUCUGAAACUUUCUGUCCAAAAAUGAUUCAGAAAAAUUAAUCCAAGCUUUUUUUUACUUCCAGGUUAGAGAACUGCAAUGCUCUACUUUCCGGCUACCUGGAUAAAGCACUAAAUCAACUUCAGUUAGUGCUAAAUACGGCUGCUAGAAUCCUGACUAGAACCAAAAAAUGUGAUCAUAUUACUCCAGUGCUAGCCUCCCUACACUGGUUUCCUUUUAAGGCAAGGGCUGAUUUCAAGGUUGUACUGCUAACCUACAAAGCAUUGGCUUUGGCUUGCUCCUACCUAUCUUUCCGAUUUGGUCCUGCAGUACAUUCAUACCAGUACGCUACGGUCUCUGCCUGGUCUGUUCCCCUCUCUCCACUGCAAUUCUCUGCCUCUAACCCUAUUAUAGGGACCGAGUCACUGGCUUACUGGUGCUCUUCCAUGCCGUCCCUAGGAGGGGUGCGUCACUUGAGUGGGUUGAGUC